rnacentral:rRNA from 1 species
AGAGUUUGAUCCUGGCUCAGAACGAACGCUGGCGGCGUGGAUAAGACAUGCAAGUCGAACGGGGUUUAGUUUGUAGUAAUACACGCUAAAUCCAGUGGCGAACGGGUGCGUAACACGUGAGUAAUCCUGCCGGGAAGUGGGGGAUAGCUCGCCGAAAGGCGAAUUAAUACCGCAUAUGACAAGGGAAGACAUCUUUCCGAAGUCAAAGUCGCAAGACGCUUCCUGAUGAGCUCGCGGCCUAUCAGCUAGUUGGUGAGGUAACGGCUCACCAAGGCAAUGACGGGUAGCUGGUCUGAGAGGACGACCAGCCACACUGGAACUGAGACACGGUCCAGACACCUACGGGUGGCAGCAGUCGAGAAUUUUUCACAAUGGGGGAAACCCUGAUGGAGCGACGCCGCGUGGAGGAUGAAGGUCUUCGGAUUGUAAACUCCUGUCAUGCGAGAACAAGANAGUGAUAGUAUCGCAAGAGGAAGAGACGGCUAACUCUGUGCCAGCAGCCGCGGUAAUACAGAGGUCUCAAGCGUUGUUCGGAUUCAUUGGGCGUANAGGGUGCGUAGGUGGCGUGGAAAGUUGAGUGU